GAUCUGGUUGGGUGGUCCGCCUGACGGCGUGUUUACUGCUUGACCGGGUCUUGCCUCUUGGUGAACCGUUGUGUUCUUUAUUGAAUGCUUCGGGGAACCAGGACUUUUACCUUGAGAAAAUUAGAGUGUUCAAAGCAGGCCUAUGCCUGAAUACAUUAGCAUGGAAUAAUAAAAUAGGACGUGUGGUUCUAUUUUGUUGGUUUUUAGAGCUGCCGUAAUGAUUAAUAGGGAUAAGUUGGG
rnacentral:rRNA from 1 species